UACGGGGGGGAGCAAGCGUUGUUCGGAUUUACUGGGCGUAAAGGGCGCGUAGGCGGUCAGCACAAGUCAGUUGUGAAAUCUCCGGGCUUAACUCGGAAAGGUCAACUGAUACUGUGCGACUAGAGUGCAGAAGGGGCAACUGGAAUUCCUGGUGUAGCGGUGAAAUGCGCAGAUAUCAGGAGGAACACCGGUGGCGAAGGCGGGGUCUCUGGGGCAACAACUGACGCUGAGGAGCGAAAGCGUGGGGAGCGAACAGGG
rnacentral:rRNA from 1 species